rnacentral:rRNA from 1 species
AACGAACGCUGGCGGCAUGCUUAACACAUGCAAGUCGAACGAAGCACUUUGAUCGAUUUCUUCGGAUUGAAAUUUUAGUGACUGAGUGGCGGACGGGUGAGUAACGCGUGGGUAACCUGCCUCACACAGGGGGAUAACAGUUGGAAACGGCUGCUAAUACCGCAUAAGCGCACAGUACCGCAUGGUACAGUGUGAAAAACUUCGGUGGUGUGAGAUGGACCCGCGUCUGAUUAGCUAGUUGGCAGGGUAACGGCCUACCAAGGCGACGAUCAGUAGCCGACCUGAGAGGGUGACCGGCCACAUUGGGACUGAGACACGGCCCAAACUCCUACGGGAGGCAGCAGUGGGGAAUAUUGCACAAUGGGGGAAGCCCUAAUGCAGCGCCGCCGCGUGAGCGAAGAAGUAUUUCGGUAUGUAAAGCUCUAUCAGCAGGGAAGAAGAAAUGACGGUACCUGACUAAGAAGCACCGGCUAAAUACGUGCCAGCCGCCGCGGUAA